rnacentral:rRNA from 1 species
CUUUCUUUGCUGGCGACCGGCGCACGGGUGAGCAACACGUAUCCAACCUGCCCUUUACUCGGGGAUAGCCUUUCGAAAGAAAGAUUAAUACCCGAUAGCAUAAUGAUUCCGCAUGGUUUCAUUAUUAAAGGAUUCCGGUAAAGGAUGGGGAUGCGUUCCAUUAGGUUGUUGGUGAGGUAACGGCCCACCAAGCCUUCGAUGGAUAGGGGUUCUGAGAGGAAGGUCCCCCACAUUGGAACUGAGACACGGUCCAA